rnacentral:rRNA from 1 species
CCAAUAGCGUAUAUUAAAGUUGCUGCAGUUAAAAAGCUCGUAGUUGAAUUUCGGGACUGAUAUGUCGGUCGUGCCUCGGUACGUACUGGUAUUUUUGGUUUCUCCCUUCUGACGAACCUUGAUGUCAUUAAUUUGGUGUCUUGGGAAAUCAGGACUGUUACUUUGAAAAAAUUAGAGUGUUUAAAGCAGGCUCACGCUUGAAUACAUUAGCAUGGAAUAAUGAGAUAGGACGUUUGAUUCUAUUUUGUUGGUUUCUAGGAUCGACGUAAUGAUUAAUAGGGAUAGUUGGGGGCAUUAGUAUUCAAUUGUCAGAGGUGAAAUUCUUGGAUUUAUUGAAGACUAACUACUGCGAAAGCAUUUGCCAAGGAUGUUUUCAUUAAUCAAGAACGAAAGUUAGGGGAUCGAAGACGAUCAGAUACCGUCGUAGUCUUAACCAUAAACUAUGCCGACUAGGGAUCGGAUGAUGUUAAUUUUUUAAUGACUCAUUCGGCGCCUUACG